CUUGAUCGACCCCAGCCACAGCGGCUGGUCGGCGGGCCGAUCCUGACCGUAGGUGGCCAGCAGCGCCUGCGCCUC
rnacentral:antisense_RNA from 1 species